AAGUGAUUGGGUAGGAAAUUGUAGAAUAGAUAUUAAUUCAUUUUUAAAAGAUAUUAGUAAAAUAUAUUAAUAGUUGAUAUAAUAGAAAAUUCAGGAGGACAGAUGAGUGAUUUAGUUAUUAAAAGUGGUUAAUUAUAGAAUUAUGGUUAAAAUCUGGAGAAUCAAAGGAAAGUAUAUAGGAGUUAUAGAAGUUAAUUAAGGUGCGAGACUGUGAUAGUCAUGAGCCGAGGGCCAUCGUUGUGAUAGUGUGAGCCAGGGUAAGUUCGGUGCUACUUCUUUUCUUUUGUUUGUUAUUUUCUUUGAAUAAGAGGAUUGAAAGUUUCUGAAUAUUAUAAAGUGAAUUAUGGAAUGGAAAUGUGAUUGGUAUUAUUUGAAAAGAAGAAAGAUUGAAUGCUAAAAUCUGAUUGUAGUUCAGCAAAGAGAAUGAGUCUGUAUUUGUGUGAAACAUUGUAAUGUGAAUGGCAGUUCUGUGUGAAAAAUUCCAGUGAUUAGAACGAGGGUAAUUGUGUACUGAAAGCUGUGAGGGCACAGUAUUACAGUUGGAGAUUAUGAGGGUGAAUAUAUUGGUGGAAAUAGCAGUUAUUGAUAUAAUUGAAUUAUUGUAAAGAAGAGACCAAUAAGAUGAAAGAAGAGAUUAUAGUUUCCUUGUAUGUU
rnacentral:lncRNA from 1 species